UACGUAGGGGGCAAGCGUUGUCCGGAUUUAUUGGGCGUAAAGAGCGUGUAGGCGGCCAGGUAGGUCUGCUGUGAAAACUCGAGGCUCAACCUCGAGACGUCGGCGGAAACCAUCUGGCUAGAGUCCGGAAGAGGAGAGUGGAAUUCCUGGUGUAGCGGUGAAAUGCGCAGAUAUCAGGAAGAGCACCCGUGGCGAAGGCGGCUCUCUGGGACGGUACUGACGCUGAGACGCAAAAGCGUGGGGAGCGAACAGG
rnacentral:rRNA from 1 species